UACGUACGAGGCGAGCGUUAUCCGGAAUUACUGGGCGUAAAGAGCUCGUAGGCGGUGUGUCACGUCGUUCGUGAAAACCUGCAGCUUAACUGUGGGCGUGCGGUCGAUACGGGCAUCACUGGAGUUCGGCAGGGGAGACUGGAAUUCCUGGUGUAGCGGUGAAAUGACGCAGAUAUCAGGAGGAACACCGGUGGCGAAGGCGGGUCUCUGGGCCGAUACUGACGCUGAGGAGCGAAAGCGUGGGAGCAAACAGG
rnacentral:rRNA from 1 species